CAGGUGUGGAGAUGCUGUCACCGAGAGUUUGAUAGCUAAUAUGGAGCAGCUGGGUGCUGACAGAGAGAUAAGUCUCUGUCUGUGAAUGACACAAUCAAACCUGAUCUUCCAUGUUACAAAGAGGGAGAUGAAAAGAAAUAUAUUUAAGUGAUGGAUUAUUGAGAUGUGGCUCCUUGGACAUCUCCUGCUACAUUGCACUCUGUAGCUGCAAUGCUGAAGAAAGCAGAACACUACCGCUGCCUUAAAAGGAGGGAAACAUCCUGCAGACACAGAGACAUGAACGUGACAAGAGAUGGUAGCUUUCCGUGCUGUACUCUCCACUGCAUUCACCACAGUCAGAUUCUCUCAAUCCAACCUCAUCUGUAUCUCUCUGACACUCUCCAUCUGUGUUUGGAAGGCAGACUCAUGCAGACCUCUUGACUGUCCUCUAGAUACAAAAUCAAAAGGUUGAAGAGACUCCCUUCAAGGUUAAAUGUGCACUACCACCUAGGAUACAAAGAUUCUUUGAACUGAUUUGUUGCCUUCAGACUGCAGCUCAGCAGCUUGUCAUUGGCUGAUGGAGGAUUCAAUAAAUAUUUCAGACAUCCCUCAAAACUUUAAUCAAACCACAAACUGUGUGCUAUCA